UACGAAGGGGGCUAGCGUUGCUCGGAAUCACUGGGCGUAAAGCGCACGUAGGCAGAUUGCUAAGUCAGGGGUGAAAUCCUGGAGCUCAACUCCAGAACUGCCUUUGAUACUGGCGACCUUGAGUCCGGGAGAGGUGAGUGGAACUGAUGGUGGAGCGGUGAAAUGUGUUGAUAUCAUCAGGAACUCCGGUGGCGAAAGCGGCGCGCUGGACCUUUACUGACGCUGAGGAACGAAAGCCAGGGGAGCGAACGGG
rnacentral:rRNA from 1 species